CACCGCGGUUAGACGGGGGGCUCAAGUUGAUAGACCACGGCGUAAAGAGUGGUUAAGGAGCCCCCAUAAACUAAAGCCGAACGCCCUCAAAGCUGUCGUACGCCUAGUCGAAGGCAUGAAGCCCAACCACGAAAGUAGCUUUAACCCAUCCUGACCCCACGAAAGCUAUGAAA
rnacentral:rRNA from 1 species